GACGAACGCUGGCGGCGUGCUUAACACAUGCCAGUCGAACGGAAAGGCCCUUCGGGGUACUCGAGUGGCGAACGGGUGAGUAACACGUGGGUGAUCUGCCCUGCACUUUGGGAUAAGCCUGGGAAACUGGGUCUAAUACCGAAUAGGACCACGCGCUUCAUGGUGUGUGGUGGAAAGCUUUUGCGGUGUGGGAUGGGCCCGCGGCCUAUCAGCUUGUUGGUGGGGUAAUGGCCUACCAAGGCGACGACGGGUAGCCGGCCUGAGAGGGUGACCGGCCACACUGGGACUGAGAUACGGCCCAGACUCCUACGGGAGGCAGCAGUGGGGAAUAUUGCACAAUGGGCGCAAGCCUGAUGCAGCGACGCCGCGUGAGGGAUGACGGCCUUCGGGUUGUAAACCUCUUUCAAUAGGGACGAAGCGCAAGUGACGGUACCUAUAGAAGAAGCACCGGCCAACUACGUG
rnacentral:rRNA from 1 species